GUCUUUUGCGCCUCCAUGUGGAUCUCAGGGUUGUGUGUUCUAGUUCUGUGCAGAACGCCGUUGGUUCCAUGGGCUUUGGGUGGAGUCUGUCACCUGCUCUGAUGGUGGGCGCUCACCUGGGAGGGAGACCACGCAGCGUCUGCCUCUCCGUGUCUCAGUCUGCCCCCCAGUUUCAUCCGUGUUGCUGCAGAAGCCAGGAUUCCGUUCUUGUGCGUGGCUGAACAGUGCUCCUCCACACACACGUGCCCCGCGGUUUCCUCCUUCCCUUCUGGGUGCCUUUGUGGCCUGUGGUCCACAACACAGAGGAUGCCUGCGUCUCAGCCGUGCCUCCUGUGCGCCAUCUCUUCUGGUGGGCACUGCACCUGCACCUGUUCUCAGCAAUGGGAAUUAUCUUCCCUUUGCUGCUGGGUGCGGGUGCGGGUGCAGGGGGGAGCAUCUUUUAAGGGCGGUCUGGUGCUGAUGAAUUCUUUCAGUGUCCCCUUGUCUUCAUAAGUCUUCAUUUCCCGGGGCCGGCGCCAUGGCUCACUUGGUUAAUCCUCCACCUGCAGUGCCGGCAUCCCAUAUGGGCACCGGUUCUUGUCCCGGUUGCUCCUCUUCCAGUCCAGCUCUCUGCUGUGGCCCGGGAGGGCAGUGGGGGAUGGCUCAGGUCCUUGGGCCCUGCACCCCAUGGGAGACCAGGAGGAAGCACGUGGCUCCUGGCUUCAGAUCGGCACAGCGCCGGCCGUUGCGGCCAUUGGGGGAGUGAACCCAUGGAAGGAAGACUUUUCUCUCUGUCUCUCUCUCACUGUCUAUAGCUCUACCUGUCAAAUAAAACAUGAAUCUCCUCUCCCUCUCUCUUGUGAAAGGCAGCACUGCUGAGUGUGGUGUAUUUGCUGAGAACUCGGGACUCAGCAGCCCUCGCCUGGAGGCCUCUGCCUAGCACUCUGCCGCCAGUCUAACGGGGACCCCUGCCUCUUUUGCGUCUGACUGGGACGCUUCACAGGACCUGUGUUCCAGCUCCCGUGUCCGCUCUCCCGCCCACUUAGCCCAGUCUGCCGCUGGCUUAGCUCCACACUGCAUCUGACUUGUCUCGGUGUGCGCUCCUCAUCUGGGCUGACGUGGAUCCUCCCGUAGCCAGGGGAUGCUGGCGUCUGGGCACUCACCCCCAGUGCUGGGAUCUGUCUGUCGCUUUGCUCGUCUCUGCUGGGCAACUAUUUGGCGAUCGGCGAGUCUCUCAGCAAAGAAAACAUUGUUGGUCUAGCGCUUAAUGCUGCCGGCGGUCGCUGUGCGCAGGGAGAGGCGGGCUCCUUCCUCUAACUAAGAACGAGGUCGCGUACGAAAGCCGAGGAAGACAGGGCACGUUGGCUGCUCCCAUUCCGUGAGAACGGCAAGAAAUAAAACUCCAGGGCUUUCAAAAAUUAUUUUAUAUUUUAGUUACUUUUUAAAAAGCUUCCUUUUUAUUUAUUUUAAAGGCAGGUGUGAGACGGAGAGAAAUCAUACUUCCGCUGGUUCAUUUCUGAAAUGCCGGCAACAGCUGAGGAUGGGCCAGGCUGAAGCCGGGAACCAGGAACCCCUCCCUGGUCUCCCCGGGAUGGGCAGUGGCCCAGUACUUCUGCCUCCCGGGGUACUCUGUCGCAGGAAACUGGGUCAGGAGAGGAGGUGGGCGUUGAGCCAGCCUCCCGUACGGGUGUGCUAAGCAGUGGCUUUGCCUGUGGCACUGCAGUGCCCGCCUUGCAAUUCCUACUUGGAAAAAUCACUGUUUUCAUUUAUUUGGGAGGCAGAGAGACAUGCACACACACGGAGACAGAGAGAUUUCUUCCGUCUGCUGGUUCCCUCGCCCAGGCCAAAGCCAGGAGGCGGGAGCACCGUCUGAGUCUCCCAUGUGGGUGGCAGGGGCCCAGCACUCGAGCCAUCGCCUGCUGCCUCCCAGGGUGCGUUGGGAGCAAGGCUGGGCUGCAAACCCAGGCUCUGCACGUGGGGUGCGUGUGUCCAGGGGCUGUAUGAACUGCUGGGCCAAGCCUCUGCGCCUCCACGUGCUGGGCUAUCAGGGAACAGCUUGUGUGUGAACACUCACCAGCAUACCAGAGGGCUCCAGCGUGUGCACGCAGAACUGAGACGGAAAGAUAACGAUUGCUUUCCAGCGUGAGCCCCCCGCAGAAGACACGAUGCCGGCCGUUCACCGCCUCUCGAGGGCUGAGAGUCCGGGACCUAACCCCUCACUGCGCCUUUUGUGCACUGGUGCGUCGGGACUGUAGGGUGGGUUAGAAUUCUUCCAAGUGCUGCCUCCCCCACUUUGUGUUUGCUGAGAGGCAUGGGCAGGAGCGUGGACUCCCUGUUGGUGCUCCCUGUGUUCCUCAGCCUGGCUGACUUCCCUCCAACGCUCCUGAUGCUGUUCUCUGGCCUUGCAUCUGCAGAAACCGUGGCCAUGACCUUGGCUCCCAACCGGUCCACUUUCCCCUGUGCUGGUCCACUCUCCACUCUGGGCGGCUCCGACUGCUUUGUCUUCAGGAGCAUCCUGGCAAAGCCGCGUUUCGUCUCCUGUCACCGUUCCACAGACAAAGCUUCGGGAUCCCGACCCCCUCCUGCAAACUCCCGUGGGAAGCCCGGCUCGUGUGGGCCCGGCUCGGGUGUGUGGGUUUGGCACUCCUGGAGCAGACAGCCAUCCACACGCACCCGGAGGUCUGUGGUGCUGCCCUAACCCGCUGGGCAAGGUCAAGCUGAAGGGGUGGUCUCCCGUGGCAGGCUUCGUCUUCAACUCCACCUCCAGCAUCGUCUCACCCCUCCCUGAGAGGGCGGCGUCUGCGCCUGCGCCGUCCCCACAGCCUCUGUAGAGCCCUGGAGGUGUCGGCGUCCUCCCACGCACGCUGCACGGGAAACCUGGUGCUUGCAUUUCUCCAGGUCUCGCCACACUCACGUUCUCUGACUCCGGGGCUUCUUCCAGACCAAUGCUUCCUCCUCCCGGGUGUCUUGGAUUAGAUCCUGCCCGGACGUGUUACAACAAGCUAGUAUGAGUUUACUUUGGGGCAAAUAACUUUUAAACCCAUGCAUUUUUUUCAUAGUCAUCACUUUCUGUGAAUUUCAGGCCCUUCCUAUAUGCUCAGCAGGUAAAAGACUGAUGGAGUUUACUUUGCAGUUGCAGAGCAUUUUCCAAUCUCGCUGUUUAAUUGCAUUUGCCUAACCAUACCGUUUAAUUUUCCAUACAUGAAGUAUGCAGUGGAGGGUUUAUUAGCAAUUAUUCUACUUAUUAAGUGCUACUAUUUAGCAGGCGUUGUGCCACGUGCUCCCACACUGAGAAAUAAGACAGUGUGCGCUCAGCCCAAAGAGCCUGCUGUAGGGCCGAGGGUUCCCACACUGGUGCUGAGAAGGGGACGGAAAGCCUUCCUAUGGAGUUUUGUUGAGACACAGAGCCCACGGAGGGCUACGAAGACGAGCAGUCUAGAAGGAAGAUUCCAGGCAGGGCAGCCAGCACUCGCAAAGGGCCCUCCAGUUAAGCACGGCCUAGGACGUGGCGGAAUGCCUUGCGGGUGGGUGGGAGAGAGACGGACUGAGUCGCGAUGAGGUUGGAGAGAGACGAAGGGCCCGGGGGACAUGCGGGGUCGAAGUGACGAAGAGUUUAGGAAACCACGGACGGUCUCCCUAAGCGGAAAGGAGAUGGGUGAGGCUGAGGGACACUUGCGUGCAGAAUGUUGCUGGGUGCCGCUGUUUGUCUCCGUGGAAGACCACGUUGGAGCAGCGGCAGGCAGCUCAGGGUGGAUCUUGGCAGGUUGUGUGCAAGUCGAGCGGCUGGGUUUGCCUGGAGUUUGGUGUGACCGUUCAGAGAAGGAGGGCUUGCACACCGUGUCUGGUUUCUGUCUGAGCCCCUGGGUGAAUGGUGGGAUGGAGUAAGGGAGGCUGGUGCGGGGGGCACGUUUCAGUUUCCUUGGGGACGCGCUGGGGUUGAGCUGGCUGGGCUGGCAGCUGGAUAGUCAGGGUUGCAGUGUGGAGGGAGUUGUGGGCUGGAAAGGGACAGGGAGGGGAGGAGAAACCCAGGGAGAGGAUGGAGGAGGCAGCACCCAGACAGAAGGGGACCCAGCGGGAGUGCCCUGGCAGGAGCCUAGGAGGAAGGUGGUCCCUGCGGGAGUCACCUGCGAGGGUCUCUCUCAGUAGAUAGGGACAGAAACGUAACCAAAGUGAUGGUGGCAAUAACAGAGCCAGUGGCAUAACACGGGUGGAAGCCAGGUUGAAGGGAGGGAAGACGUAGGAGGCAGCAAUGAGAGCAGCAGAAGUAGUGGUGUCUUUGGAAGGGUCUCUACGCCUGAGAACAGGAACGGGGCAGGAUUGUUUUUUUUUUGACAGGCAGAGUGGAGAGUGAGAGAGAGAGACAGAGAGAAAGGUCUUCCUUUGCCGUUGGUUCACCUUCCAAUGGCCGCCGCGGCCGGCGCACUGCGCUGAUCCGAUGGCAGGAGCCAGGAGCUUCUCCUGGUCUCCCAUGGGGUGCAGGGCCCAAGGACUUGGGCCAUCCUCCACUGCCUUCCCGGGCCACAGCAGAGAGCUGGCCUGGAAGAGGGGCAACCGGGACAGAAUCCGGCGCCCCGACCGGGACUAGAACCCGGUGUGCCGGCGCUGCAAGGCGGAGGAUUAGCUUAGUGAGCCGCGACGCUGGCUGCGGGGCAGGAUCUUAAACAGCGCCACCCUGGAGCUGGCCUUUGCCUUCCCUGGACUCUUCAUUAGAAACAGAGCAGUUGCUGGUGCAGGGGCAGGGACCCCUGUCCUGGAGGCUGGGCCUGUGACGGGGCGGAAUCCUCGGGUGCGGGUGCUGCUGAGCCUCAAGGCAGUGAGGGACGAGCUGCGACAAUGCCCCCCCCGACCGAGGCAGAAACAGUCUCAAGCAGGUUCAAUGAUUUUCUCAGGGUGAUGUGGAAAGCAGGGUUCGGGCCAGUUUGCUCGGUUUUGUUCUGCAACAGAGCGUGCCUGGUGUGCGUGACGGAGUUUCUCCUGGACGCUCAGGCCUCCUUAGUGCUCCUGGCUGGAUCUCCCGAGAACCCGCUUUCUCGGAUUUGUGCCCUCGCCUGCUCCUCUCCUGCUCCCAGCCAAGGACCCUGGGGCUGCGGCGCUGCGGCCAUGCACAGACUGGACAGAGGCGACCACACGGAUCUCCAUGGCCACGCAGCUUUCUGGACCAGUGGCUGAAGUCAUCUUUGCUGAAGACCUUGAACUAGAACCCUUGGCAGAUUCCAGGUGGUUCUGUUAUUGGGAGGAGAACUUGUGGCAGAUAGCAUCCUGGAAUAUCUCUGAAUAUGAUGACAAAACAGCAAGGCGGCUGAAGUCUAAAUUCCCCUCUCAACAGUUUUCCAGGCCCCAGCGCUGGCCCCAGGAGGGAUAUUUUAAUGCUAAUUCUGCGCUGUAGUGCAGUGGGUUAAUCCUCCACAGCAACUCUGACUUGAUUCUCAGGUGCUUUGUAAAGGAAUUCGUGACAGUGUUGAGUGUAUGUGGUUUGUGGCUGGCCUGUACUCAGGAGUCCCCCUCUCCCCAGUUUCUUAUGCAUUCAGCAGGUUAACACUUCGUCAGACGAAGAGUUGCAAACGUUCUCUCCCAUUCUGUCCACCCUUCAUUGUUUCUUUGCUGUACCAAAGCUUCUUAGUUAGAUACAAUCCCAUUUGUCGAUUUCUGUUUUUGUGGUCUUAUCCGAAAUAUCAUUGGUUAUCUGAUGGCUUGAAGUAUCUAUCUUGUUUUGCCCUGGAAGUUUAGAAUUUCAGGUCUUAUGCUUGGGUAGCUGACCCAUUGUGAACUGGUUUUUGUACGAGAGACGGAUGUGUGCGCAGGAUCAAGUUCAGUCACCUGAGGAUUCCAGUCUUUCCUUCGCCAUUCGACCAAGAGCCUGUCCUUUCUCUGAUGGAGGUUUCUAUGUCUUUGUCAAGUAGCAAGUGACUGUUGAUGCCCGAACUUAUUUCUGGAAACUCUAUUCUGAUUCCAACAUCUGUAGUCCAGUUUCAUGCCAGUGUCAUGCUGUUUGGUUUCUAUAACUCUGUAGUAUGUUUUGAAAUCAGGUAACAGGAUGCCUGAAUUUUGUUUUUUAUGUUCAAAAAAAUUUUUUUUGCCUUUUAACCAUCUUUCUUGAUUCCACAUGAAUGCUAAGAUGUGUUUUCUAGGUUUGGGAAGAAUGCCAUUGGUACUUUGAUGGGGAUUAGAUUGAAUUUGUAAAUUUCUGUGGGUAGAGUGGACUUUUUUAAAAAGGUUUAUUUAUUUAUUUGAAAGUCAGAGUUAUACACACACACACACACACACAGAAGUCUCCCAUCCGAUGGUUCACUCCACCAUUGGCCACAAGGGCUGGAGCUAAGCUGAUCUGAAGCCAGGAGCUUCUUUUUGGGUCUGUCACAUGGGUGCAGGGGCCCAAGGAUUUGGACCAUCUUCUACUGCUUUCCCAGGCCAUAGCAGAGAGCUGGAUUUGAAGUGGAGCAGCCAGGACUAGAACCAGCACCCAUAUGGAAUGCCAGCACUGCAGGCAACAGCUUUACCCACUAUGUGCUGGCCCCAGGAUGGACGUUUUAAUAAUGCUAAUUCUGGGGGCCAGCGCUGCAGGCUAGGAGAGAAUGGAGAGCCAUAGUUCAAAUUCUAAAGGAAAGAAACUGUUAACCCAGAAGACUGUACCCCACAAGGCUCUCGUUUAUAAAUGAAGGUGCAAUAAAGACGUUCCAAAACAAACAGAAAUGAAAGAAUUUGUCACCACUUAUCCAGGCUUACAAAUUAUUCUCAAGGAUGUGCUACACACAGAAAUAGAGAAUGAUAGUCAUGGUCAUGAAAGACUGCAAAGGCAGAAUAUCUCCUAGUAAAGGUACAAAGGAAAUUCAAAGCAAACAGUAGGAUUACUUAUGGAAAAAUGGUAGGAUCAAAUUGUUACUUAUCAAUAAUAACCUUGAAUGUAAAUGGUCCAAAUUCUCCAAUAAAGAGACACAGACUGGCUGAAUGGAUUACAGCACAAGACCCAUCUAUUUGCUGACUGCAAGAAACACGCUUCAACAACAAAGAUACCCACAGACUGAAAGAGAAAGAGUGGAAAAAGGGAUUCUGCUCCAACAGAAAGUAAAAACGAGCAGGUGUGGCCAUCCUAAUAUCAGACAAAUAGACUGUUGAAAGAGACAAAGAAGGAUGUUACGUAAUGAUUAAGGGAUUAAUUCACUGGAAGAUGUGACUAUAAUAACUGUAUAUGUACCCAAUGCCAGGGCUCUUGGCUAUUUAAAACAAAUGUUAAAGGAGCUAAAAGGAGACAUAGACACUAACACAAUAGCACUGAAGGACUUCAACACCCCUCCUUCAUCCUUGGACAGAUCAAUAGACAGGAAACCAACAAAGAAACAGCAGAGCUAAUCUACGCUGUGGAGCCAACGGACUAACUGAUAUCCACAUCCCACAGUUGAAUUUACAAAUUCGUCAGCUGAACGUGGAACUUUAUCUAGGACAGACCAUAUCCUAGGCCAUAAAGCAAGUCUCAGCAAAUAAAAAAAAUUGAAAUCGUGCCUUGUAUCUUUUCUGACCACAAUGGAAUGAGGCUGGAAUUUAACAACUUACAAAUCUCUAGAAAAUAUGCAAACACAUCAAGACAGACCAUGCUCCUGAAUGAAUAGUGUGUCAAGGAAGAAAUCAGAACAUUCUAAAAGUGAAUGCAGAUGACAACACAACAUAUAAAAACUUUUGGGAUAUGCAAAAGCAGUGUUAAGAGGGAAGUUUAUAGCAAUUGGUGCCUACAUCAAGAAAUUGGAAAGGCUUCAAAUAAUGGAGCUACUGAUGCAACUCAAGGACCUAGAAAAACAAGAGAAGAAAGAAAUAAUUAAAGAGAAGAAAUAAACAAAACUAAAGCAAAAAACACCAAAAGAUCAAUGAAACAAAGAGCUGCUUUUUUGAAAAAUUAAACAAAAUUGAUACACCAUUGACUCAAUCAAUAAAAUCAGGGAUAAAAAAGGAGAUGCAACAACAGACACCACAGAAAUAAAAACAAUCAUAAUUAUUACUAUGAACAGCUGUAUGCCAACAACUUGGAAAAUCUAGAAGAAAUGGAUAGAUUCCCGGACACAUACAGUCACACAGUUGAGACACAAAGACACUGAAAACUUAAACAGACCAAUAACCAAGAAGGAGAUUAAAUCAGUAAGAGACCCUCCCAACCAAGAAUAGCCCAGGGCUGGAUGGCUUCACUGUUGAAUUCUAUCAUGUUUUUAAAGAGGAACUGAUUCUAAUUCUUCUUAAACUAUUCAGAACAAUUGAAAAUGAGGGAACCCUCUCAAACUACUGUGAUGCCAGCAUCACCUUAAUUCCAAGACCCGAGGAAGGCAGAAGAAAUGUAGACAACUGUAGACCAAUAUCCCUGAUAAACAUUGGUGCAAAAAUCCUCAACAAAAUACUAGCCAAUCGAAUCCAACAACACAUCAGAGAGAUCAUUCACUCAGACUAAGUUGGAUUUAUCUUUGGCAUGCAGGGAUAUUUCUUCUUCUUUUUAAAGAUUUAUUUUUUUUAUUUGAAAGUCAGAGUUACACAGAGAAAGGAGAGGUGGAGAAAGAGAGAGAGAGAGAGAGAGAGAGAGAGAAAGAGAGAGAGACUGACACAAACAUAGACAUGUAGGCCAAUGGAGCAGAAUAGAAGCCCCAGAAAUUAAUCGACACCUCUACAACCAACUCAUCUUUGAGAAAUGACUUGAAAUCAAUUCCUGGAGAAAGGAAAGUCUCUUCAACAAAUGGUGCUGGGAAAAUUGGAUCUCCAUGAUCAGAAGUAUGAAACAAGACCCUUACCUUAAAUCUUAUACAAAAAUCAACUCAACAUGGACCUAAAUAUACGACCUGAUACCAUGAAAUUACUAGAGGAAAACAUUGGAGAAACUCUGCCACACAUUGGCAUAGGCAAAGACUUCUUGGAAAAGACCUCAGAAGCACAGGCAAUCACAAUAAAAAUAGAAAAAUGUGAUUACAUCAAGCCAAGAAGAUUCUGCAUUGCAAAGGCAGUAUGCGGCAAAAUGAAGAGGCAACCAACAGGAUGGGAAAAAUAUUUCAAAUUUGCAACUGACACAGGAUUAAUAUCCAGAACCUGUAGAGAGCUCAAGAAACUCAGCAACAACAAAAACAACCGAAGCAAAAACCAUCCAGUUAAAAAUGGGCAAAGGACAUGAACAGACAUUUUCAAAAGAUGAAAUUCGAAUGACUAAAAUACACACGAAAAAAUGAUCAAGAUGACUAGCCACCAAUGAGAUGCCACGAAAAACCACAGUGAGGUUUCAUCUCACUCCUAUUAGAAAGACCAGCAUUGCAAAAAUAAAAAAAUAACAAUUUCUCCUGAAGAUGUUGGGGAAAAGGUACCCUAAUACAGUGCUGGCUGGAAUGUCAACUAAAACAAACUCUUUGGGAAACAGUAUGGAGGUUUUCCUCAGAAAUCUGAAAAUAGAUCUACCUUAUGACCCAGCAAUCCCACUUCUGGAAUUUACUGAAGAGAAGUGAAAUCAACAUACAAAAGAGUUAUCUGUACGCCCUGUUCACAGCAGCUCAAUUCACAAUAGUUAAGAUACGGAAUCUACCCAGAUGUCCAUCAGCUGUUGACUGUAUAACGCAAAUGUUGUAUACAUACACUCUGGAGUGCUAUUCAGCCAUAAAAAUGACUGAAAUCCUAUCUUUUGCACCAAAUGGAUACAACUGGAAACCAUUAUAUUUAGUGAAAUAAUCCAGUCCCAAAAAGGCAAUUAUCAUAAGUUUUCCCUGAUCUGUGCCAACUAAUAGAGUAAAAGAAAUGUAAUAUUUAUGAGCAAAAUUGACAUUUUGAGAACUGAUUGUUUACAUCUUUUGUCUCCACUGUUGAACAGUGUUUUUUGUUUUUGUUUUUGCUUUAUUUCUUCUUAGUAUUUGUUGAAUUCUUUAUUUAGUGGAGGGUUAAGCUUAUGAUUAUAAAAUAUGCUGAAAAUAUGUCAUUGCAAAAAUUAAAAGAAAGAAUAUGAAUAUGAAAGGAGU